AUGUGCGCGGAAAAUGGGCAGAAGCAACUGGUUACUGGUGGUGCACUGCGGCGGCAGCAGCAACAUGUAGCCCCAUGGUGUCCCUUCCUGCUGGGCGCCGCCGUGGCCACCGGUCUGCGUCCUCUUCUUCAUGUCGCUCCAGCCCCGGCCGCAGCCUCGUCGACGUCGCCGCAUGAGCCACAACAACGGCACCGCCGCCCAGCACCACCACCACCUGCGCUCCGUCGCCGAGACGCCGACGCCGCCCGCAACCUCUCCGUCGUCGUCGCGGCUCCGGCACCCGCCCCCGUCCAGGCGUCGCCGUACGGGGACCUGGAGGAGGUGCUGGCGCGGGCGGCGACGGCGGACCGGACGGUGAUCAUGACGCAGAUCAACGCGGCGUGGACCAAGCCGGGGUCGCUGCUGGACCUCUUCUUCGAGAGCUUCCGCACCGGGGAGGGCGGCGUGGCGCGCCUGCUCGACCACCUCGUCAUCGUCACCAUGGACCCGGCCGCGUACGCGGGGUGCCAGCUCGUGCACCCGCACUGCUAUUUUCUGAGGACGACCGGCGUCGACUACCGCGGCGAGAAGUUCUUCAUGAGCAAGGACUACCUCGAGAUGAUGUGGGGCCGCAACAAGUUCCAGCAGACCAUCCUCCAGCUCGGAUACAACUUCCUCUUCACGGACGUGGACGUGAUGUGGUUCCGUGACCCGUUCAAGCACAUCUCCAUGGGGGCGGACAUCGCCAUCUCCAGCGACGUCUUCAUGGGCGACCCCUACAGCCUCGGCAACUUCCCCAACGGCGGCUUCCUCUUCGUGCGCUCCUGCAACAAGACCAUCGAGUUCUACCGCCACUGGCAGGCGGGGCGCUACCGCUUCUUCGGCAAGCACGAGCAGGACGUGUUCAACCUCAUCAAGCACGACAUGACGGACCGCCUCGGCGUCGCCAUCCAGUUCCUCGACACCACCUACAUCAGCGGCUUCUGUCAGCUCAGCAGGGACCUCAACAAGAUCUGCACCCUGCACGCCAACUGCUGCGUCGGGCUCGGGGCCAAGCUCCAUGAUUUGAGGAAUGUGCUGGACGUGUGGAGGAACUACACGGCGGCGCCGGUGCCGGACAAGAGGGCCGGCAAGUUCCAGUGGAAGGUACCCGGGAUAUGCAUCCACUGAUCCAACUCAUGGAUGAGUUCGUGCAUUUGGUUGCCCAUUCUUUCUGCUCUUCUUGCUUGCCUGCUUCUUCUCGUGGAAAGAGAUGGAGGGGAUUGAGAGGGGCAGCAUCGAUCGAUUGAUUCAUUUUGUGAAAUCAUUUCAGCUAGAUGAUUAUUAGUAAGUUAUUAUACUAUAUAUGUACACAAACAUAUACACAGAGUAGUAGUACUCCAGUAUGCGUGCAGCACAUGCAUGCAUGUAUGCUGGUCCUGGCCGACUCCUCCUGGCCUGUAAUUAAAGAUGAAUGAGUAAAGCAGUAGCUUGUUUAUGCA